rnacentral:rRNA from 1 species
CCUACGGGGUGCAGCAGUGGGGAAUAUUGGACAAUGGGGGGAACCCUGAUCCAGCCAUGCCGCGUGUGUGAAGAAGGCCCUCGGGUUGUAAAGCACUUUCAGUGAGGAAGAACGCCUGGUGGUUAAUACCCAUCAGGAAAGACAUCACUCACAGAAGAAGCACCGGCUAACUCCGUGCCAGCAGCCGCGGUAAUACGGAGGGUGCGAGCGUUAAUCGGAAUUACUGGGCGUAAAGCGCGCGUAGGUGGCUUGAUAAGCCGGUUGUGAAAGCCCCGGGCUCAACCUGGGAACGGCAUCCGGAACUGUCAAGCUAGAGUGCAGGAGAGGAAGGUAGAAUUCCCGGUGUAGCGGGGAAAUGCGUAGAGAUCGGGAGGAAUACCAGUGGCGAAGGCGGCCCUCUGGACUGACACUGACACUGAGGUGCGAAAGCGUGGGUAGCAAACAGGAUUAGAUACCCGUGUAGUC